GCCGCGGUAGCUCAGUGGUAGAGCCCUCGGCUGUUAAAAGAUAAACUUAUGAGUUAUCUUGCAAAAACCGAGCGGUCACAGUAGUGGAGAUCUACUCCAUGGCGAUCAAAGGUUCAAAUCCUGUCCGCGGCGCCA
rnacentral:tRNA from 1 species